UUGAAAGGGAAACGAUUGAAGUCAGUCGUACCUAUGGGUAAUCAGCCUUUUGGGUGUGAUUUUGUGGAGCGUGAGGAGUUAAACGCCUUCAUGCCUGCAUAUUCGUGCACUUUGGGUGUACUUGCCCGUGUGUAAGUUAACAUCAAUUUUGGUGGUCAUAAAAUGGCUGGAGGAAUGUAGCUUCGAUCUUGUAUUGAAGUGUUAUAGCCUUUGGUAGAUGUGGUUUUCGAGAUUGAGGAUUGCAACGGAUACCCUUCGGGGCUACCUAUCUGAUCUCUGAUCGUUGCUCUGGUGGCGAAAGCUUGCUUACGGAUAUCAAAGUCGAUGGUCAAUAGGUUAGAAUAGGUUAAAUUCGUUAAGGAUGUUGACGUA
rnacentral:rRNA from 1 species